GACGAACGCUGGCGGCGUGCUUAACACAUGCAAGUCGAACGGAAAGGCCCUGCUUUUGUGGGGUGCUCGAGUGGCGAACGGGUGAGUAACACGUGAGUAACUUGCCCUUGACUUUGGGAUAACUUCAGGAAACUGGGGCUAAUACCGGAUAGGAGCUCCUGCUGCAUGGUGGGGGUUGGAAAGUUUCGGCGGUUGGGGAUGGACUCGCGGCUUAUCAGCUUGUUGGUGGGGUAGUGGCUUACCAAGGCUUUGACGGGUAGCCGGCCUGAGAGGGUGACCGGCCACAUUGGGACUGAGAUACGGCCCAGACUCCUACGGGAGGCAGCAGUGGGGAAUAUUGCACAAUGGGCGGAAGCCUGAUGCAGCAACGCCGCGUGCGGGAUGACGGCCUUCGGGUUGUAAACCGCUUUCGCCUGUGACGAAGCGUGAGUGACGGUAAUGGGUAAAGAAGCACCGGCUAACUACGU
rnacentral:rRNA from 1 species